AUGAACUCUUUCUUCGUGCCUCAUACAUGCAAGUCGAGCGAACAGACGAGGAGCUUGCUCCUCUGACGUUAGCGGCGGACGGGUGAGUAACACGUGGAUAACCUACCUAUAAGACUGGGAUAACUUCGGGAAACCGGAGCUAAUACCGGAUAAUAUAUUGAACCGCAUGGUUCAAUAGUGAAAGACGGUUUUGCUGUCACUUAUAGAUGGAUCCGCGCCGCAUUAGCUAGUUGGUAAGGUAACGGCUUACCAAGGCGACGAUGCGUAGCCGACCUGAGAGGGUGAUCGGCCACACUGGAACUGAGACACGGUCCAGACUCCUACGGGAGGCAGCAGUAGGGAAUCUUCCGCAAUGGGCGAAAGCUUGACGGAGCAACGCCGCGUGAGUGAUGAAGGUCUUCGGAUCGUAAAACUCUGUUAUUAGGGAAGAACAAAUGUGUAAGUAACUAUGCACGUCUUGACGGUACCUAAUCAGAAAGCCACGGCUAACAACGUG
rnacentral:rRNA from 1 species